AUACGGAGGGUGCGAGCGUUAAUCGGAUUUACUGGGCGUAAAGCGCGCGUAGGCGGCUAAUUAAGUCAAAUGUGAAAUCCCCGAGCUUAACUUGGGAAUUGCAUUCGAUACUGGUUAGCUAGAGUGUGGGAGAGGAUGGUAGAAUUCCAGGUGUAGCGGUGAAAUGCGUAGAGAUCUGGAGGAAUACCGAUGGCGAAGGCAGCCAUCUGGCCUAACACUGACGCUGAGGUGCGAAAGCAUGGGGAGCAAACAGGAUUAGAGACCCCAGUAGUCC
rnacentral:rRNA from 1 species